rnacentral:misc_RNA from 1 species
UUUCCGUUGGUGAACCAGCGGAAGGAUCAUUACAGAGAUCAUGCCCUCACGGGUAGACCUCCCACCCUGUGUUAUUUACGAUUGUUGCUUUGGCAGGCCGGCUUCGGGCGCUCGGCUUCGGCUGAGGUGCGCCUGCCAGAGGACCCCCAACUCUGUGUUUAGUGUUGUCUGAGUAUUAUUUAAUACGUUAAAACAUUCAACAACGGAUCUCUUGGUUCGGGCAUCGAUGAAGAACGCAGC